rnacentral:rRNA from 1 species
AGAGUUUGAUCCUGGCUCAGGACGAACGCUGGCGGCGUGCUUAAUACAUGCAAGUCGAACGGAGUUAAGGGUUUCGGCCUUUAACUUAGUGGCGAACGGGUGAGUAACGCGUGAAUAACCUGACUCAAAGAGGGGGAUAACAACGGGAAACUGUUGCUAAUACCGCAUGAGACCACAACACCGCAUGAUGAAGGGGUCAAAGAUUUAUCGCUUUGAGAGGGGUUCGCGUCCCAUUAGGUAGUUGGAGGGGUAACGGCCCACCAAGCCAACGAUGGGUAGCCGAGCUGAGAGGCUGAUCGGCCACACUGGAACUGAGACACGGUCCAGACUCCUACGGGAGGCAGCAGUAGGGAAUAUUGGGCAAUGGGCGCAAGCCUGACCCAGCAACGCCGCGUGAGGGAAGAAGGUUUUCGGAUUGUAAACCUCUGUCCUAUGUGACGAAGGAAGUGACGGUAGCAUAGGAGGAAGCCCCGGCUAACUACGUGCCAGCAGCCGCGGUAAUACGUAGGGGGCGAGCGUUAUCCGGAUUCAUUGGGCGUAAAGCGCGCGUAGGCGGCCCGGCAGGCCGGGGGUCGAAGCGGGGGGCUCAACCCCCCGAAGCCCCCGGAACCUCCGCGGCUUGGGUCCGGUAGGGGAGGGUGGAACACCCGGUGUAGCGGUGGAAUGCGCAGAUAUCGGGUGGAACACCGGUGGCGAAGGCGGCCCUCUGGGCCGAGACCGACGCUGAGGCGCGAAAGCUGGGGGAGCGAACAGGAUUAGAUACCCUGGUAGUCCCAGCCGUAAACGAUGGACGCUAGGUGUGGGGGACGAUCCCCCCGUGCCGCAGCCAACGCAUUAAGCGUCCCGCCUGGGGAGU